UACGGAGGGGGCAAGCGUUAUUCGGAAUUAUUGGGCGUAAAGGGCGCGUAGGCGGCUAGAUGUGUCAAAGGUGAAAUCCCUCGGCUCAACUGAGGAACUGCCUUUGAAACUGUCUGGCUUGAGGCCGGGAGAGGGUAGCGGAAUUCCCAGUGUAGCGGUGAAAUGCGUAGAUAUUGGGAGGAACACCAGUGGCGAAGACGGCUACCUGGACCGGUUCUGACGCUGAGGCGCGAAAGCGUGGGUAGCAAACAGG
rnacentral:rRNA from 1 species